rnacentral:rRNA from 1 species
AACGAACGCUGGCGGCAUGCCUAACACAUGCAAGUCGAACGAGACCUUCGGGUCUAGUGGCGCACGGGUGCGUAACGCGUGGGAAUCUGCCCUUGGGUUCGGAAUAACAGUUAGAAAUGACUGCUAAUACCGGAUAAUGUCUUCGGACCAAAGAUUUAUCGCCCAGGGAUGAGCCCGCGUAGGAUUAGCUAGUUGGUGAGGUAAAGGCUCACCAAGGCGACGAUCCUUAGCUGGUCUGAGAGGAUGAUCAGCCACACUGGGACUGAGACACGGCCCAGACUCCUACGGGAGGCAGCAGUGGGGAAUAUUGGACAAUGGGCGAAAGCCUGAUCCAGCAAUGCCGCGUGAGUGAUGAAGGCCUUAGGGUUGUAAAAGCUCUUUUACCCGGGAUGAUAAUGACAGUACCGGGAGAAUAAGCCCCGGCUAACUCCGUGCCAGCAGCCGCGGUAAAU